rnacentral:misc_RNA from 1 species
AUUGAACAAAAGCCCAUGGUCUAUUUAAGACAAUAUAACCUCGAUCCAGGCCCUGUGGAAGAGGAUCAACGAUAAAGGUUGGAAUUUCUUCCAUCAAAUUGUCAGGUUUUCCAGAAUGCAGAACUCGAGUGAACUUUCCCAUGUCUGAUCCAGGCAUGUCUUUCAUCUUCUUAUACCAAUAGUACAUAAUCCGGCAUUGCCAUUGGCUAUAAGGAGCAUCUGUCGCUGUAAGGGCAACAUGGUAUCUCGAAUUUGACUUCCCUAAUCUCUUUACCUCUUGAGGCAUAUUAGUAAUGGGAUCAGAUAACUCCAAUCCAUCUCCUGAAUUGGAGCUCUUAUAUUGUAUUAAGAAUGUCAACAAGUUAUACAUUGCAAAGGAAAAACCAAGAGACAAAAGCACCAAAAAGAAUGGUGAUAC